GGCCCCGUCGUCUAGCCUGGUCUAGGACACAUGCCUUUCACGCAUGCAACACGGGUUCGAAUCCCGUCGGGGUCA
rfam:Singulisphaera acidiphila DSM 18658, complete genome.